GACGAACGCUGGCGGCGUGCCUAAUACAUGCAAGUCGAGCGGACUUGAUGGAGUGCUUGCACUUCUGAAGGUUAGCGGCGGACGGGUGAGUAACACGUAGGUAACCUGCCCGCAAGCCUGGGAUAACAUUCGGAAACGGAUGCUAAUACCGGAUACGCAAUUUUGCCGCAUGGCGAAAUUGGGACAGGCGGAGUAAUCUGCAGGUUGCGGAUGGACGUGCGGCGCAUUAGCGAGUUGGCGGGGUAACGGCCCACCAAGGCGACGAUGCGUAGCCGACCUGAGAGGGUGAUCGGCCACACUGGGACGGAGACACGGCCCAGACUCCUACGGGAGGCAGCAGUAGGGAAUCUUCCGCAAUGGACGAAAGUCUGACGGAGCAACGCCGCGUGAGUGAGGAAGGCCUUCGGGUCGUAAAGCUCUGUUGCCAGGGAAGAACGGGUAGGGGAGUAACUGCCCUUAUCAUGACGGUACCUGAGAAGAAAGCCCCGGCUAACUACGUGCCAGCAGCCGCCGUAACAC
rnacentral:rRNA from 1 species